rnacentral:rRNA from 1 species
AUAGCCCAAGAGCCAACCCGUCUCUGUUGCAAAAGAGUGGGAAAAUUUUCAAGUAGAGGUGAUAUACCUAUCGAACUUAGAGAUAGCUGGUUUUUUAAGAAAAGGAUUUCAGUUCUAUUUUAAACUUUUAUGUUAAUCAAAAAUAUACUUGAGUUUAAAAGUUAUUCAAAUAAGGCACAGCUUAUUUGAGACAGGAUACAACCUAAAACCCAGGGUACGACAAACAAAUUUUGAUAAGUGGGCCUAAAAGCAGCCAUCUUUCAGAAAGCGUCAGAGCUUAGUGAUACUAUUUAUUUAAUAACUACACCUACUUCUAACCCCUAUUAACUAUUAAAAAACUCCAUAAAUCUAUGGAAGCUAUUAUGCUAGAACAAGUAACAAGAAAUAGACUUUCUCCAAAAUGUAAGCUUAAGCCAUAAUAGACACCCUACUGGCAAUUAACACUUAUAAAUUUAUUGUAACAACCCCAACAAGAAAACUUUACAUCUUAUAACGUCGACCUUACACCAGC